rnacentral:sRNA from 1 species
ACGCACCCCACCGUGCACUGCGCUUGCUGCGCGUCGUCCGCAUCCAGCUGGCGGCUGUUCGCUCUAUGUUGCCAACC